rnacentral:rRNA from 1 species
AGUGAACGCUGGCGGUAGGCCUAACACAUGCAAGUCGAACGGCAGCACAGUAAGAGCUUGCUCUUACGGGUGGCGAGUGGCGGACGGGUGAGGAAUACAUCGGAAUCUACUUUUUCGUGGGGGAUAACGUAGGGAAACUUACGCUAAUACCGCAUACGACCUACGGGUGAAAGCAGGGGAGCUUCGGACCUUGCGCGAUUGAAUGAGCCGAUGUCGGAUUAGCUAGUUGGCGGGGUAAAGGCCCACCAAGGCGACGAUCCGUAGCUGGUCUGAGAGGAUGAUCAGCCACACUGGAACUGAGACACGGUCCAGACUCCUACGGGAGGCAGCAGUGGGGAAUAUUGGACAAUGGGCGCAAGCCUGAUCCAGCCAUACCGCGUGGGUGAAGAAGGCCUUCGGGUUGUAAAGCCCUUUUGUUGGGAAGGAAAAGCAGCAGGUUAAUACCCCGCUGUUCUGACGGUACCCAAAGAAUAAGCACCGGCUAACUUCGUG